rnacentral:rRNA from 1 species
CCUACGGGUGGCAGCAGUGAGGAAUAUUGGUCAAUGGCCGGAAGGCUGAACCAGCGAAGCCGCGUGAAGGAAGAAGGUGUCAAGCAUUGUAAACUUCUUUUGUCAAGGGACAAAAUCAGGCUCGAGAGCCCGAACGAGGGUACUCGAAGAAAAAGCAUCGGCCAACUCCGUGCCAGCAGCCGCGGUCAUACGGAGGAUGCGCGCGUUAUCCGGGUUUAGUGGGUUAAAAGGGUGCGAGGGCGUAAUGGUAAGUCAGCGGUAAAAGCCCGGGGCUCAACCCCGGCGUGCCGUUGAAACUGGGUGUCUUGAGAGGUCGAGAGGUAAGCGGAAUGCGCAGUGUAGCGGUGAAAUGCUUAGAUAUUGCGCAGAACUCCGAUGGCGAAGGCAGCAUACCGGCGGCGAACUGACGCUGAGGCACGAAAGCGUGGGUAUCGAACAGGAUUAGAUACCCGUGUAGUC